rnacentral:lncRNA from 1 species
UCCUAAGAAAUAAUAUCAGCCAGCACCUGCUGCAAAGGGGCAUCCCAGGAUGUGUGACUGAAUCCUGUGGCAACACUGCGAGGUUGGCAUCAUUACCCCCACACCCUCCCCAACCGAGGAAAGAGCUGGAACCUGGGGAGAUGAAUGACUUGAUGUCCCACAGCCAACUGGCCUGCAGGCCCAGGGGUCACAAUGAUCUUGCUGAUAUGGACCCUGGUCAAAGCUGAAGCAAGGAUGGCUAGCCCAGGGCAGGGAUGUGUGCUGG